rnacentral:snoRNA from 1 species
GAAGCUCCUUAUUGGCUAAACACAUUGAUUCAGGUCGUCAGGAGCAGAUAAGGCAGGAUUUCUGGAAAACCAGCAGGAGGCCGGGCCUCAAGGCCAGGAGUUUGACACCCCUGCCAUGGAG